rnacentral:misc_RNA from 1 species
AUAAAAAACAAUAUAGAUACCUCUAAAUGUAUACCUUUUGUUAUAACGACCAAAAAAAGCGCUAUUUUAUAGAGCCUUAGCUCUACGUAAUUCAAAGUCUCAUAGUAAUAUUUCACAUAUUUGCAAACAGAUCAGAGGAGUUUUAUUUGAUUAUUAUUUAAUAUUUAUAAAAACAACAUUUAACCUUUAAUAACAAGCGGUUAACAAAUUGAUGUAAAUGAAAAGCAAGGUUUGUUAAGUCAUUGUUAAUCAUCAAAAGUAUUAUGAAAGUAGACA